GGUCGCAUGGUCUAGUUGGUUAGGACGCAUCCCUGUCACGGAUGAGAUCGCGGGUUCGAGUCCCGCUGCGACCG
rfam:Lactobacillus sharpeae JCM 1186 = DSM 20505 NODE_90, whole genome shotgun sequence.